rnacentral:lncRNA from 1 species
CAAACUUGAAUGAAAAGAAAUGAACCUCAUGUUUAUAGCAGCUUUAUUCAUAAUUGCCAAAACUUGGAAGCAACCAAGAUGUCCUUGAGUAGGAGAUGUGUUUCUCAAUAUGAAGGCAGUCACUUGAACAGACUUCAAGAAAAUAGCAUACUAUUAUACAGUUUGUCAAAUAAUUACAUUUGCUAUGUGCUUGGCACGUGCCUGCAACCAUGCUAGGCAUGGGGAAGAAAGAAUGGUGAAAUAUUCCAGCCCUUGAGUCGCUGCUGACAAAUAAUUCCAGAAAAGAAGCACGGACUAUGAAAAUGAGCAUCUCCCAGAGUAAUGUGGGUGCACGUGGGAGCUGGAUGCAGCAAGAAGGGGGGAACAGCCUCUCUCUGUGACUUUUCCUCGAGGACAUUACUUCUGAG